rnacentral:rRNA from 1 species
GAACCUGCGGAAGGAUCAUUACCGAGUGAGGGCCCUCUGGGUCCAACCUCCCACCCGUGUCUAUCGUACCUUGUUGCUUCGGCGGGCCCGCCGUUUCGACGGCCGCCGGGGAGGCCUUGCGCCCCCGGGCCCGCGCCCGCCGAAGACCCCAACAUGAACGCUGUUCUGAAAGUAUGCAGUCUGAGUUGAUUAUCGUAAUCAGUUAAAACUUUCAACAACGGAUCUCUUGGUUCCGGCAUCGAUGAAGAACGCAGCGAAAUGCGAUAAGUAAUGUGAAUUGCAGAAUUCAGUGAAUCAUCGAGUCUUUGAACGCACAUUGCGCCCCCUGGUAUUCCGGGGGGCAUGCCUGUCCGAGCGUCAUUGCUGCCCUCAAGCACGGCUUGUGUGUUGGGCCCCCGUCCCCCUCUCCCGGGGGACGGGCCCGAAAGGCAGCGGCGGCACCGCGUCCGGUCCUCGAGCGUAUGGGGCUUUGUCACCUGCUCUGUAGGCCCGGCCGGCGCCAGCCGACACCCAACUUUAUUUUUCUAAGG